AUGGCACUGCUUCAAUAAGGAAGUUGAAUAUCCUUGUGUGUGGUCUGUGAUAAACAUUUGUGUUCUAAAUUCAGGCCCAGCUGUAAUUUUGGGUUGCUGUCUUAAAGCAGGCCAAUCUUGAAUGUACUGCAUUUGUCUAGAUGCUAUAUCCUUUCAAAUGAAGAUAAUAGAAUAAAAGUGUCUCUCCGGCAGUCCAGGAUAAAUCCCAAGAGCAAUAGUAAAGUAGAAGAUCCUGAAAUCACAACACUUGAUGAUGUGCAGAAAGGUCAGCAUGUCAGAGGCUAUGUCAAAUCCGUCACAUCAUCAGGCAUUUUUUUGGGGUAUGUUUUGCUUGCUGACCAUAAAAGUUAAUUCCAUUUUGUUUUAUUAAUGUCUUCAUGGUGAUUUUAGGUGUCAUACU